rnacentral:rRNA from 1 species
AACGAACGCUGGCGGCAUGUCUAACACAUGCAAGUCGAACGAGACCUUCGGGUCUAGUGGCGCACGGGUGCGUAACGCGUGGGAACCUGCCCUUAGGUUCGGAAUAACUCCCCGAAAGGGGUGCUAAUACCGGAUAAUGUCUUCGGACCAAAGAUUUAUCGCCUUUGGAUGGGCCCGCGUUGGAUUAGCUAGUUGGUAGGGUAAAAGCCUACCAGGGCGACGAUCCAUAGCUGGUCUGAGAGGAUGAUCAGCCACACUGGGACUGAGACACGGCCCAGACUCCUACGGGAGGCAGCAGUGGGGAAUAUUGGACAAUGGGCGAAAGCCUGAUCCAGCAAUGCCGCGUGAGUGAUGAAGGCCUUAGGGUUGUAAAGCUCUUUUACCCGGGAUGAUAAUGACAGUACCGGGAGAAUAAGCUCCGGCUAACUCCGUG